AUACGGAGGAUCCGAGCGUUAUCCGGAUUUAUUGGGUUUAAAGGGUGCGUAGGCGGCCUUUUAAGUCAGCGGUGAAAGUCUGUGGCUCAACCAUAGAAUUGCCGUUGAAACUGGGGGGCUUGAGUAUGUUUGAGGCAGGCGGAAUGCGUGGUGUAGCGGUGAAAUGCAUAGAUAUCACGCAGAACCCCGAUUGAGAAGGCAGCCUGCCAAGCCAUGACUGACGCUGAUGCACGAAAGCGUGGGGAUCAAACAGGAUUAGAUACCCUGGUAGUCCACGCAGUAAACGAUGAUCACUAGCUGUUUGCGAUACACUGUAAGCGGCACAGCGAAAGCGUUAAGUGAUCCACCUGGGGAGUACGCCGGCAACGGUGAAACUCAAAUGAAUUGACGGGG
rnacentral:rRNA from 1 species